GUCCUCCGUUAUUGCGUCUUCCCAUUUCGACCAAUCAGAUUCAUCGUUUAAGGGUUAGGUACGCGGAGUGUGGUGGAGUGCAUCAGUUCUCUUCGAAGCUUCGUCCGUUUGGCACGUGUCUGCAACAGGUAUCGGCCGAUAGCAGAAUAUACCGAACAUUGCCGAGCGUUGCCGAAGUGCCGACCGGUCUACGAUGGGAAGGAAGGUCUCGCCAUUGCUCUCUCGAGCGUCGAAGCAGUAAGACGUGUUGAGGGCGUCCUCCUGUACGGGUAGUUCAUAGAUAUUUCCUUGAUAUUGAAAAAAUGCCAUGCGAUGCGAUGCCAUGGUAAUUAAUACUGGUUUGAAACACAAUUUCGUAAAGAAUUGGUAACGUUUUGAUUUAUUGUAAUCAAUUGGUAAUAUUUGUUAUUACUUUCUUUUUGUUGAGGCAUUGUUAAUUGUAAGCAUUUUUGAUAAUUAAUUAUUGGUACCAAGGUCAAGGAAGGAAAGAUCAGAGGAAUGUUUCUCUCUUUGAUCAAUUAAUAGAAAAAGGAUAAUUAAUUUUUCAUUUUAUUGAAUAAUUUUAACUAGUAGUUUCAUGCAUCUGUUAAAAAUCAGAAUUAUUUUAAACAAUCUGUUAUCGUCAA